rnacentral:rRNA from 1 species
ACGGGAGGCAGCAGUAGGGAAUCUUCGGCAAUGGACGGAAGUCUGACCGAGCAACGCCGCGUGAGUGAAGAAGGUUUUCGGAUCGUAAAGCUCUGUUGUAAGAGAAGAAUGAGUGUGAGAGUGGAAAGUUCACACUGUGACGGUAUCUUACCAGAAAGGGACGGCUAACUACGUGCCAGCAGCCGCGGUAAUACGUAGGUCCCGAGCGUUGUCCGGAUUUAUUGGGCGUAAAGCGAGCGCAGGCGGUUAGAUAAGUCUGAAGUUAAAGGCUGUGGCUUAACCAUAGUAGGCUUUGGAAACUGUUUAACUUGAGUGCAAGAGGGG